rnacentral:rRNA from 1 species
CUGGCCUCUUUUUGGGGCAUGGGCACACUUUCUCUUUCAUCCACACACACCUGUGCACCUGUGGGACGGGGAGCUGGCCCUUUCGCGAGGGGUGUUUUCUCCGUCUGCCAAUACACCAAACUCAUAUUAUAAUUUGAAUGUAAUCGAUGUAACGCAUCUAUAAAUUAAGAUUCAACAACCGAUCUCUUGGCUCUCGCAUCGAUGAAGAACGCAGCGAAAUGCGAUAAGUAAUGUGAAAUUGCAGAAUUCAAAUGAAUCAUCUUAAUCUUUGAACGCACCUUGCGCUCCUUGGUAUUCCUUGGAGCAUGCCUGUUUGAGUAUCAUGAAAUUCCAAAACAAAUUUUUGUUAAUUCGAUUGGUUUCGUUUUGGACUUGGAGGUUUAGCGGAUUCACGUCCGCUCCUCUUAAAAACAUUAGCUGUAUCUCAGUGAACUCGGUUCCACUCGGCGUGAUAAGUAUCAAUCGCUGAGGACACCCGUAAAAAAGGUGGCCGGGCUUGCAGAUGAACCGCUUCUAAUAGUCUAUUGAAUUAGACAAUAUACUUUAUGAUCUGAUCUCAAAUCAGGUAGGGGACUACCCGCUGAACUUAAGCAUAUCAAUAAGCGGAGGAAAAGAAACUAACAAGGAUUCCCUUAGUAACGGCGAGUGACUGAGGGAAGAGCUCAAAUUUAAAAUCUGGCAGUGUAUUCUG